rnacentral:lncRNA from 1 species
AUGAAAUGUGCCAUAUGUGCUCUAGUAAAGACCCACCUGUGGCGCAAUGACAACCCGCACUUACCAGCUAAAUCAAUAAAGUUCUACAUACAGUUUGGUUUAAAGUCUCCUGACCAGUUGAGAAGUUUCCUAACCAGUAAAAAACGACCGGCUCAAUCCAGAAAUCUCGUGGUUACGUGGAUAACCCAGCCGCUGAGGUCUCAACAGAAGAGUAUUACAAGCAAGAGUAUCCCGUGUGAGCACACCGUGGCCGGUUCCCCGUGGUACUUGCCAGUGAACAGAUACUCGGGAGGGCUGUACUCUUCUGUGCCUGGAGGAAAGAAAUUUUGUCUGAUUUGUAAGUUUGCAUUAACACGGCAUGUAAACUAGAUGUCCAUUAUCAUGUAUGAAAUGAUUUGAUGCUAUUGAUUCAUAAAGUGGAUUGUACUCCAUGAUGCUUCAUGAGAGCCUGACUCACUCAUUACCAGAGUUUGAGACCUACUCUGAGUUUGAGAGUCUAUGAUUAAUGAUGAAUAAGAGAUGUUUUAAACUGAAAACAGUAACUUCAGAGAAGAAACUGAGAGAACUGCAGCCUACUUACAAUGCUGAUGAAUUUCAUGUUCCUGCUGGAGGCGAGUUUUACUGCUGCCUGAUCAAGAAAACAACAACAACAACAACAAAAGAUUUACAGUUCAUAACAUCUCUAGCAUCAACCCUGAACAUACAUUUUCAUGAAUUUAAAUAACAGUAGAGCAUAGACCUGUCUAAACAGGUCUGACAUGUCAAGUGCUCUAAAUAGUUCAAAUAUGAAACAAGUGCAUGCAAAGAAGAGAGUGAGACUGGUAUAACAGGACAGAAAUGAUUAGCUAGAUAAAUAUUGUAAGUAAUACAAAUUGAUACCUGAAGGCCAUUGUCCAAACGAGUUGCUGCAUAAACAGUUCAAAAAGAUAGUUUUAUUCAAAUCAUAUUUAUGUGACGAGAUCUUGAUUUUUUCAGAUUUUCC